UGCCCAGCAACUCCUAUCCCUACCUUCACGUGGUACCGGCCGGAAACUAUGAGCAACCUUAGGGAAGAUCGGGUAACCAACCCCGGUGGGAACUUUGGUCGUAGGCUGACAGGGAAGG
rnacentral:ribozyme from 1 species